rnacentral:rRNA from 1 species
UCAUAGCGACUAUCGUGGCAUAUCAAUAAGCGGAGGAAAAGAAACUAACUAGGAUUCCCUUAGUAACGGCGAGUGAAGCGGGAAGAGCUCAAAUUUGAAAUCUUCAAGGUUCUACCUUGACGAAUUGUAGUUUAAAGAAGUGUUUUCUGUUGGAGUUUUGGUAAAAGUUCUUUGGAAUAGGACAUCAUAGAGGGUGAGAAUCCCGUAUUUGACCAUUUCUUCCAGCUGUGUGAUACACUUUCAAAGAGUCGGAUUGUUUGGGAAUGCAGUCCAAAAUGGGUGGUAAAUUUCAUCUAAAGCUAAAUACUGGCGAGAGACCGAUAGCGAACAAGUACCGUGAGGGAAAGAUGAAAAGAACUUUGAAAAGAGAGUUAAACAGUACGUGAAAUUGUCAAAAGGGAAGCGUUUGACACCAGUGUUGUUUUCUCGAAAAUCAAUUAAAAAUGGUGGGAUGUUGUGUUGUAUUGACUUUAUCAGCUUUCUGCACUCUUUUUCCUGUCUUUCUUAAUGCACUUUUCGGUUAACAAGUCAACAUCAAUUUCUUUUGUUGUAAAAGGGUAUGAGGAAGGUGGCUUUCUUUUCGGAGAAAGUGUUUAUAGCCUUGUACCUCUGCAAUCGGAGAGAUUGAGGUCUGCAGCGUAGAUCCUUCGGGGUUAGAUACAUUUGUGCUAAGUUAUAGCUUUUCAUAGACAACUUGUUGACUAUGUUAAGUCUUGUAGCUUACUCGCUUAUGCUAUUUUACCUACGCUUAGGAUGUUGAAGAUAUGCGCGACACG